rnacentral:rRNA from 1 species
CCUACGGGUGGCUGCAGUGAGGAAUCUUGCGCAAUGGGGGCAACCCUGACGCAGCAACGCCGCGUGGGUGAAGAAGGCCUUCGGGUCGUAAAGCCCUGUCAAGUGGGAAGAACGGCCUCUGGUUGAAUACGCCGGGGGUAUGACUGUACCACUGAAGGAAGCACCGGCUAACUCCGUGCCAGCAGCCGCGGUAAUACGGAGGGUGCAAGCGUUAUUCGGAAUUAUUGGGCGUAAAGGGCGUGUAGGCGGCUAGGUAAGUCAGGUGUGAAAGCCCAGGGCUCAACCCUGGAAGUGCAUUUGAUACUGCUUGGCUUGAGUGCGGGAGAGGAAAGCGGAAUUCCCAGUGUAGAGGUGAAAUUCGUAGAUAUUGGGAGGAACACCGGUGGCGUAGGCGGCUUUCUGGACCGACACUGACGCUGAGACGCGAAAGCGUGGGGAGCAAACAGGAUUAGAUACCCCUGUAGUCUCC